CCGCUGGCAUCAGCGGUGUGACAGUGCGACCACAUAUCAUCCACUCCAAGAUGCCCAGACCAACUCGGGUUAAUGGUUUACACGUAGGCCGCGACAAGGGACGCCUUGAUCCUUGUGUUAGUAGAUGUAUGGAGUGGGUGAGCCUCACGAAGGGGGCCAUCAGUGGUGUGUAGGGCAGUUCGAGAGUUAACACAGGCCUGACAACACGUACAUAAGGACUGAUCUGGAGACUUAUUAAAGGCCUUGACUGUUCCCGCUAUGCGUUUGACCGCAUUCCAAUAAAUUGUGAAGCGAGUACAACGCAGUGGUAUCAGUCACCUCAAAUCAACACAAAUAAUCUAAGCGUGUGAAAUGGCGCUUACAGUCAAACGCAGAGGGAGGUCACUGCUGUUACGUCGCCGUGACGAGAACGAGACGGACGGAAGAAGCGAACUGCGGUAAGUCUACGGAAGUGACGCGGUGUUUGACGGGCGAUUAUUGUGGGGCGGAACCAUCAUAGUAGUAUACGAGUGCACAGAUCCACCAUAUGAUCAAGUUUAUUUGUGAUUAGUUUUUGGUGAAAAGUAAUGUAAAGAUUUAAGGAUGGCUAUUACUGAUCAACGAAAAUCCGGAGAACUAUUUUUACACGCAAAGGGAGUGAAAUGUUUGAAAUUGAUGCAAUAUGUCAUGAAGGAGGAUUUCUUGUUAGUGACAUUAAUGACCAUGGUCCUCGUGUCGCAAGUGCUUGUGUUUUGGAGAAAAGUAAAAUAGGUAAACUAAAUUAAUAAAACAAAGAAUCAAGAAACGGAAUAUUGAGAAGAAAAAAAACUGGUUUCACGCCCAUUACAUAUUGAUUGGAUUUUAUAAUUGAUGCGAAAAUUAACUAACUUCAGAGGACAUAAUAAACAUUAAGAAUUAAUAGGCAAUACUUCUCACUGAGACAUUUCGAUGAACUCAUAAAAUUGAAGAUAUUAAAAUGAGUGAACUUGAGAUAAUGUGGAAAGAUGGAAACAUUAGAUCAAGGGAAGAAGUAGCGUUUUUCAAGAAAGAUCUUGCACCAAAAAUCGACACUGUAAUAGAUUAAUCAUAUAACACUCUGGGAAGACCAUGGAUAUUAGAAGGACAUACAAGAGGUGUAUGUUAUUAUUUACAGACCUGACUCAACUAAAGCCUUCUUCAGAGAAACACUAAUGGCCAUCAGUAAUUUUACCGAAACUGCAAAUUCCAAGGCAACAAUAAUGGGUUCUUUCCCUUUCCCUUCACUGACUGGGAAGCAAGGGAUUUAAGCGCUGCCAGAGAAGAGAAAGAACAAGCACUGUUGCUUUUAGCUUUUAAGGACUUCUACCUUGUUGUUAUUAUUGUUAUUAUAGAAAGGGCCACGCUGAAAAAAUCGAGAAUUAUACUACCAAAGGUCAUUACACGUUAAGAUAGAAAAUCAUCUACUAUUUACGUAGCAAAAGGGCAGAUCUUCUAAACUUAUCAAGAGCCGGAGAAGUUACAAUCUCUGAAGGCAAUCUAUCCCAAAGACUACAAAUAACAGUAAAAGGCAUCUGGAAAACUGAGAUGUAGACAACCGACAUGCAUCAAAUGUCAUUGAAAUGAGGAAGUUCUAAUAACUUUUGCGGGUUGAAACAAAAUUAAGGUAAAAAAUAGAGAAGGGAUGUGAAUUAUUGGUUACAAUCUUACAAGAAUUAUUGGUUACAAGAAUGAAAGAACCCCAUUAUCCCUACGGUGCCCAAGGUCCAAAUCAAGACAGGAGAAAUUUAAUGGAAUUUAAAGAACGAUCAAGCAGGCAUAAGUGUGACUCUGAUACAAAUAACCAUAAAGGAGGACAAUACUUAAGAUGAAGCAGAAAAAAAAAAAUCGAUUAAUGUUGCAUGUUCAAAAAUCUUCUUGCACUCGCAAAUGAUGAUGCCCAACCUGAAUGAAACUGCCUGUGCCAUAGUCCUAAUUUACAUGGGUUACACCCAUGAGUUUCGGAUUAUCCACUAAAGUAAUUAAGAACCCAUUAAUCAGCAGACUUGGAUGCUGAGGCAACUGCGUUCUCGGCCGACUCACAAUCAUUUUUUGGAUUUGGUAGGAUUUAAUUUCAUGCCUCACUGAGAACAGUAUGAUAGACUUGUCGUCAGGUUUACAGUGCGACUGUCAGUUACAAUUUGUCUGGUUGCCGGAGAAAGACUACCAUCAUAGAGGGAAGCACCAUCAGCAUAUGCCAAAAUUUUAUUAGUAAUACUCAGUUAAAAUACUAAAAACGUUGCCACCAUUAACAGACUGCAACUGACAAGCCAAACAUUUGUGAUUUACAGUGUCAAAAGCUGCACAAAAAUCCAGAGACAAGCCUUGACUCAUGUCCCUUAUCUAAAGCAGGCUACAUUUCAUACACCAACAUAAGCAAUGCAUCAUUACAACCGAGCUCUAAAACCAGACCAGAGUUUUUUGAAGAAACGAUCUCAAAUGUCCAAAAAAAAA